GAUGAACGCUGGCGGCGUGCCUAAUACAUGCAAGUCGAGCGAACAGACGAGGAGCUUGCUCCUCUGACGUUAGCGGCGGACGGGUGAGUAACACGUGGAUAACCUACCUAUAAGACUGGGAUAACUUCGGGAAACCGGAGCUAAUACCGGAUAAUAUAUUGAACCGCAUGGUUCAAUAGUGAAAGACGGUUUUGCUGUCACUUAUAGAUGGAUCCGCGCCGCAUUAGCUAGUUGGUAAGGUAACGGCUUACCAAGGCAACGAUGCGUAGCCGACCUGAGAGGGUGAUCGGCCACACUGGAACUGAGACACGGUCCAGACUCCUACGGGAGGCAGCAGUAGGGAAUCUUCCGCAAGGGGCGAAAGCCUGACGGAGCAACGCCGCGUGAGUGAUGAAGGUCUUCGGAUCGUAAAACUCUGUUAUUAGGGAAGAACAAAUGUGUAAGUAACUAUGCACGUCUUGACGGUACCGAAUCAGAAAGCCACGGCUAACUACGG
rnacentral:rRNA from 1 species